rnacentral:rRNA from 1 species
UGGGGAAUAUUGGACAAUGGGCGCAAGCCUGAUCCAGCAAUGCCGCGUGUGUGAAGAAGGCCUUCGGGUUGUAAAGCACUUUUAUCAGGAGCGAAACGCUGUCGGCUAAUACCCGGCGGAACUGACGGUACCUGAGGAAUAAGCACCGGCUAACUUCGUGCCAGCAGCCGCGGUAAUACGAAGGGUGCAAGCGUUAAUCGGAAUUACUGGGCGUAAAGCGUGCGUAGGCGGUUUCUUAAGUCUGCUGUGAAAUCCCCGGGCUCAACCUGGGAAUGGCAGUGGAUACUGGGAGGCUAGAGUGUGUCAGAGGGUGGUGGAAUUCCCGGUGUAGCGGUGAAAUGCGUAGAGAUCGGGAGGAACAUCAGUGGCGAAGGCGGCCACCUGGGACAACACUGACGCUGAGGCACGAAAGCGUGGGGAGCAAACAGGAUUAGAUACCCUGGUAGUCCACGCCCUAAACGAUGCGAACUGGAUGUUGGUCUCAACUCGGAGAUCAGUGUCGAAGCUAACGCGUUAAGUUCGCCGCCCUGGGGAGUACGGUCGCAAGACUGAAACUCAAAGGGA